rnacentral:rRNA from 1 species
AUUGAACGCUGGCGGCAGGCCUAACACAUGCAAGUCGAGCGAGCGGCGGACGGGUGAGUAAUGUCUGGGAAACUGCCUGAUGGAGGGGGAUCACUACUGGAAACGGUAGCUAAUCCCGCAUACCAUCAGAUGUUCCCAGAUGGGAUUAGCUAGUAGGUGGGGUAACGGCUCACCUAGGCUACGAUCCCUAGCUGGUCUGAGAGGAUGACCAGCAACACUGUAACUGAGUCACGGUCUAGACUCCUACGGGAGGCAGCAGUGGGGAAUAUUGCACAAGGGGCGCAAGCCUGAUGCAGCCAUGACGCGUGGGUGAAGAAGGCCUUCGGGUUGUAAAGAAUUUUCAGCGGGGAGGCGUUACCCGCAGAAGAAGCACCGGCUAACUCCGUGCCAGCAGCCGCGGUAAUAC